AGAGCGAACGCUGGCGGCAGGCCUAACACAUGCAAGUCGAGCGGCCGUAGCAAUACGGCAGCGGCAGACGGGAGAGCAACACGUGGGAACGCGCCCUUCGGUUCGGAAUAACUCAGGGAAACUUGGGCUAAUACCGGAUACGCCCUUACGGGGAAAGAUUUAUUGCCGAAGGAACGGCCCGCGUCCGAUUAGCUUGUUGGUGAGGUAACGGCUCACCAAGGCGACGAUCGGUAGCUGGUCUGAGAGGAUGACCAGCCUCACUGGGACUGAGACACGGCCCAGACUCCUACGGGAGGCAGCAGUGGGGAAUAUUGGACAAUGGGCGCAAGCCUGAUCCAGCCAUGCCGCGUGGGUGAUGAAGGCCCUAGGGUUGUAAAGCCCGUUUCGGCGGGGAAGAUAAUGACGGUACCGCAGAAGAAGCCCGGCUAACUUCGUGCCAGCAGCCGC
rnacentral:rRNA from 1 species